rnacentral:rRNA from 1 species
CAGCCGCCGCGGGAAUACGAAGGGUGCAAGCGUUAAUCGGAAUUACUGGGCGUAAAGCGUGCGUAGGCGGUUUGUUAAGUCUGUUGUGAAAUCCCCGGGCUCAACCUGGGAAUGGCAAUGGAUACUGGCAAGCUAGAGUGUGUCAGAGGAUGGUGGAAUUCCCGGUGUAGCGGUGAAAUGCGUAGAGAUCGGGAGGAACAUCAGUGGCGAAGGCGGCCAUCUGGGACAACACUGACGCUGAGGCACGAAAGCGUGGGGAGCAAACAGGAUUAGAUACCCCUGUAGUCCCUGUCUCUUAUAA